UGGGUCGUGCGCAGGACAGAGAGCGACAUGGCCACUCUCGCCGACCAAGCGAAAAAGCUGCAAAUCCAACCUUCAGGAAUUCUCUUCAGGAUUUCUCACCUUUGGUUUUUUUCCCCCAUGUUUUCAGCGGCUGCCAGCACAGUAACGCACGUUUAGUAGAAUUUCAGCCUCUUGCCUACAGUCUUCCGACCGGACCGGAGCGCUGAACCAAUCCCAGGCCAGGCCUGAGUGGACACUGGCCGCGCCCACUGUGUCUCGCAGCCCUUUUGAGGCCGCACGAAGCAUGUGGCCGUAUUGGAAAGGUUUGGGUCCCUACUGCAGAGAACCGGACAGAGAAAUGGCGAGCGUGCACAGACAGGAGAAAGGGAUUAGGAGGGGGCUAGAGCUGUAUCUGAAGGAUCCGAAGAGGUACGAGGAGAGCACUCCGGAUGUACUUGGGGACGAGACGGAGCGGAGUUGCACCGGUGGGAACUGCAGUCCAGUGCUGAAAGAAGUGCUUGCAGCAUUCUUGUCUUCUCCCUGAUGUCAGAAUUUCUCCUUUAAAUAUGAUGUCUGUCAGAGAUUUCUGUAAAUAUCCCUGUAUCAGAUUAAAUCAUGCCUAUGUGAUUAGCCUCCGUGAAAAACCCAUAAACCACAGAGAGCCUCCAGGUGGAUGAACACAUCCACGUGCCAGGCGGGCGGUGCCCUCCGACUCCACGGUGACAGAAGCGCCUGCGUUUGUCCGCACCUCACCCUUUGGCCAGCUCUAAGCUGAGGAUGAUGUGUUCAUUUAGGGGGCAGGAACAGACAAUGAACUUUCCCAAAGCUCUAAUAUCAUAUUUAGAGACCACCACUGUGGUCAGCGUUCCCACCUACUAGCUUGCUUGGAUUCAUUCUCACCUGGCUCACAGAAGUCCACCUGGACAGUGGACCAGAUAUCCUUACCCAGGAUAAAAGGUGCUGCUGUAUUAACCAGAAGACUUGUUACAUUAUUUGAUCCGGUAAAAGAGGUAAAAACAGGAGAUGUGGAGAAAACAGGAAGUGACACUGCCGAAGAGGAAGUAGAGGAAAAGGAAGAAGUCUGGAUGCUGCCAAGAAAACAACGUUCUACUGAACAAUGAAUCAAUCCGAAAAAGAGAGAAAGGCACUUUUUUUCUUGAAACAGCAAGCAGGAGAGCCUCACCAAGAAUUCAGGUAUUGGUAAUGACCUUUCAAGUUUUAGCCUUGUUAAACACACUUGGAAGGGUCAACCCUUCAUGGCCAACUGCUUUACUUUCAAGGUCUCCCAUCCUGCUGCUCCUCAGUUGCUCACUCACCUGAGAAGCACGGACACUGCAUUUCAUCUGCUACUCUCCAUGGCUCCUCGCCAUGCUUGAAAUUAAGGAUCAUAUCUGGUUUGGAAGCUUGACAGCCGGUUCAUGGGAAACGACAAAGACCUGGACACUUAUCACGGACUUGGUGGGGGAUGUCUACGAAGAGCACAGAACGUCUCCUGAACUGACACACUAGCACCUGGGCAGAUUAAAGAUCUAAUGAAGGAGAAAGCACAUUAAGUUCCAUCUGGGAACAGAAGAGGGACUGAGCAUCUGUCUAGAAGCUCAAGUCCAGGAUCUGGAAGCUCUUUGGAAGCCAGGGGAGCUGGAAGGGGGAAGCCUACUGGCUGUGCUCUCUGAGUGACGCAGGGCAGUCAUCCUUAACUGGUGUCACAGGUUGCUGUAAUUCUCCGACAUCACGUCCUGGUAGCUGCCGCUCCUCCUAGGUAAAGUCCACCGACACAUCCUCAGGUGACAUUAAUCCCUGCAAUUACCACACGUUCUUCUUCAAUUUGUGAUGAUCAUUUCUGAUGAGAAGAAGACCUACAGAUACACCUUCUGGUUGUUUUCACCAUUAGUUACAAAGGCUGUAUCUCUGUAACAGUUUUCAUUGGAAAGAAGUAAAGUGCCAUUAAAUCCAUCUGGCAACUGAACACCUAAUCCAGUAAAAUUAGAAGUUUUUGUAAGGCAUACUGAUUAAAUUCUACAUGUAAGACAUCCCUAAGAUAGUAAUCUCUGAAAACCAUUUUUAACGUCUAUUUAAAAGGUAGAGAACUAAGUGUUAACAUAUAAACACAGCAAGUAUCUGUCCUCAAAGAGCUUUUAUCUUGAACAUUUUCCAACAGAUAGAACAAAGAAUAGAAUCAGACAUGAAAUGACUACACGUGCAGGAAUUAUCAGCACUGAAUAUUAAUAGGAAUAUUCAAUAUAAAUAUUUAAUAUAUUGAGAAAUAAGCUAUCUUAAAUAUGGAGAAGGAAUAAGAUAUUAUUGAAAUGACCACUUAGAUGUAUAUAAACCAGAAGAAAAUUUUAAAAAUAGAGUCAAUCCUCAUUAUUUAUGGAUCUAUUGUGAAUUCACCACCUACUAAAAUUCCUCUGUAACCCAAAAUCAAUAGUCGCAGCACUUCUGUGACCAUUUGCAGACACACAGAUACAAUUCUAAAGAUGCCCCUCCAGAUUCCUGUCCCUUAAUUGGUCAAACAAACAUUAAUUUUGGAAGUGCUGUGAAGGGAGUCUGGAGAUGUGAUCAAGGUUACUAAUAACCUGACCACAAGAUAGGGAGAUUAACCUGAAUUAUCGGUGGGCCCAGUGCAGUCACAUACUAGUUUAAAGGAAGAGACAGUCAGAUAUGUGUCAGAAAGGGAAGCUGAAGAGAUCUGAAGUACAAGAGGAACUCAAACGCCUGCUGGAGGGGGAUCACAUGGAAAGCGUCAAAAGGAAAGGAGGCAGCCUCUAGGAGAAAAGAUUGACCCCUCAGCUGACAGCCAGCGAAGAAACAAUGAUCUCAGUCUUACAGUCACAAGAGAAUGGUCUCUACCUACAACCUGCAUAAGCUUGGAAGUGGAUUCUCGCCAGCACUUUGUUGGCCAGUACUGUGAUUUCAAUCUCAAGAAGAAGAGAGCAGGGAAACCAGCCACACUCACUCAAACUUCUGAUUUAAGGGACUGUGAAAUAAUACAUUGGCAGUGUUUUAAGAUGCUAAGAGUUGGUGAGAAUUCGUUUCAGCACCAACAGAAAACUAACACAUUAUUGAUACCAAAAACAUUAAAAACGUUUUUCUUUUAAUGGAGGUAAUGGGGAUUGAACCCAGGACCUUGCAUAUGCUAAGCACGCACCCUACCACUGAGGUAUACCUCCACCCCUCAAAAACAACUUGUAAUUCAAUUUAAAUACAUCAUAAAUUCUUACACAUGUA